AGCAAACGAAUCAGGUACAGGUGGCGUCCGCGGGCAGUUUGAAUUAGAUUCUGGGCUCCACUCCGUGGAGGCAGCACCAGAACUGGACUCUCCGAGAGGUUGUUUUCCCUUCCCCGAUCGUACGUUUCUUUAUAAACAUUGGAGUAAUAAAGAAGGGAGAACAAAAUGAGCUGGGCUUUGGAAGAAUGCAAAGAAGGCCUUCCUAUAAGAGCUCUUCAGAAAACUCAAGAGCUUGAAGGACAACUUGACAAACUGAAGAAGGAAAAGCAGCAAAGGCAGUUCCACCUUGACAGUCUCGAGGCUGCCUUGCAGAAGGAAAAACAGAAGGCACCCCUGAAGCUCUGGUAUUUGUAGCUGUUCACUCAUUAUUAUCACAGAAGCACUGGUAUUUAAAACUGUUCACUCAUUUUUGGAUUAUUUCAUCUUUACAUUUAGAGAAAAAUGAUUUUGCUAUCUUCAGGAGGCAAUCCCCGCCCCCACCACCCUACCCCAUUCCCCUUCCCCUUUUUUGAGUCUUUUUUAUUUUAAUGGUUUUCAUUUGCUCCAUUCCUGUUCUCAUUUCUGCUUACCUGCUAAUAUCUAGGGCUACUGAGUCCCAGUUCAACUUCCCUGUGGAACCAUGACUUGGAGACUGCUUUUGCACUGCAUAGCAACAAGGCAAAAGGUUUCUGCUGGUUAAAUGGAUGUGGCUUUCUGAGACUCCGCUUUUUACCUUGGUAUUCCCCAACCUUUUCAGGGCUAGUAAAUAAAAACUAAAUAGUACUUUUUAAAAUUUACCUCUGUAUUAGCUAACUAAAUAGUGAUAGUCAUUGCUUUUAAAAGCUUUUUGCUUGAUGGAGAAUUUUCUGGUUUCUAAGAAUAACUAAUUUUAGCAGCCAAACUGGAGAAUGAAUUGUUAAGGGAGAUUUAUAGGAUUUAUUUUCUGUUUUUUAAUUUUCGAAAGGAUAGUAAAGCCUCACUUUCUAGGAUGGGUAUGUAUGACCAGAGAGGAUAUCAUCACACAUGACUUCAUAGAAGUUUCCUAUCUAUUGGCUUCAAAGUGUGUUCAUCCAAAAUUUCUGUGUUCAUAAAGUAUUGACAGAUGGCUACUGCAGCUGCACCUCAGGAAAUGAGCAGAGGGUUAGACUCAGAUCUACCAAUAAUACUUGGUAAAUUCAUCAGACGAGGGAGUUACUGUCUUCUGAACAAUUCUCAUUAGGUUGAAAAUGAAAAAACUGAGGGUACAAAUCUGAAAAGGGAGAAUCAAAGAUUGAUAGAAAUAAGCGAAAGUCUGCAGAAAGCUAAGUAGAUUUCUCAUGAACUUCAAGUCAAGGGGAUACAGGUGAGUUUCCUGGAAGGACAACUGAAUUCAGGCAAAAAAACAAGUAGAAAAACUGGACCAGGAACUUAAAAGGUACUAUUUUGGAAUGAUAUUUAUAGGGAUGAUGUUUGUAUGUAUUUAUCAGAUGUGUUUCUCUUUUCCUUUAACAACAUAAUUAUUAUACAUUGCAACUUUUUUUUCGCAGUGGAGUAAGUAAUGAUUUGGUCUAUAUCAGUAAUUUGAAUAAGUGAAAGAUUAAAAACAAACAAUGAUUUAGUUUUUUCAUUGAAUAGCUCAGUAUGAUAUAAAUUUAUCAAAUGGUUACUCUGUUACUCAUGUACUCAUUCAGUAUAUGUUUAUUUUUAUUUAUUUAUUUUUGAGAUGGAGUUCCGCUCUUGUUUCCCAGGCUGGAGUGCAAUGGCGCGAUCUCGCCUCACCGCAACCUCCGCCUCCCGGGUUCAGGCAAUUCUCCUGCCUCAGCCUCCUGAGUAGCUGGGAUUACAGGCACACGCCACCAUGCCAGCUAAUUUUUAGUAUUUUUAGUAGAGACGGGGUUUCACCAUGUUGACCAGGAUGGUCUCGAUCUCUUGACCUUGUGAUCCACCCGCCUCGGCCUCCCAAAGUGCUGGGAUUACAGGCUUGAGCCACCGCGCCUGGCCAUUCAGUAUGUUUACUAAGCUGUUCCAUGAUUCAGACACUGUUGGUCACUGGGUAGUACAAUAAUAAAUAGUAUAUCAUACUAUCAAAUAAUAGUAUUAUUAUAAUACUAUCAUACGGUCAAAUAGUAUCAAAUAAUGCUAUUGUUUGAUAGUACUGUUAUUUGACGGUAUGAUGAUAGUACUACUUAAAAUAAAACUAUCAACAGUUGUUACUGAAAAGACGGAAAUCAGUUGAAGUGUACUGAUGGCUCAUGUGAAAAAGCUGUUGUAGAGAAUGAGAGGAAGAACUAGGGAAUUAUAAAAGGAUGGAAUAGCACAGAGGGCCCAGCUGAGAUUGGAGACAGCAUUUAAGCAGGCCCAAUCUGCAAGGCUGUGUGAUGAUUUAAAAAAAAGUUUCCUUUUCGCUGUGCGUGGUGGCUCAUACCUCUAAUUCCCAGCACUUUAGGAGGCUGAGGUGGUGGAUUACCUGAGGUCAGGAGUUCGAGACCAGCCAGCAUGGCCAAUGUGGUGAAACCCCCUCUCUGCUUAAUAUACAAAAAUUAGCCGGCUAUAGUGGUGGGUACCUCUAAUCCCAGCUACUCGGGAGGCUGAGGCAGGAGAAUUGUUUGAACCAGGAGGUGGAGGCUGCAGUGAGCUGAGAUCGCACCAUAUCCUCUUAGCACAUUUGGUUUUACAUUAUUCUUAUUAUCUAAUAGACUACAAAAACUACUGAAUAUGGUUUUAAAGUUUUCACUGCUAGCCUUCAAAUGCAUUGCAGAAACUUACUUUUUCUAACAAUUGCCACUGAUUAGGUUUCAGAAGUUCUCCAGCAUGUGAGGUUGAAUCAUUUGGAAUGUUUGUUAAAACUGUGGAUAUUUUCAAUCUCAUAUAGUUCAACCUGGUAGAAAAUGCUUUUAGCUUUUUAGUGCUUUUUUGGUGGUGGUGUUUAUGGUUUUUUUUUUUAGGGGGAAGGGGAAAAUAUGGUUUAUAAAAAUAAUAGCAAGGUAUACUUUUAAGUAAUAAAUAACUGUUUAAAAUGUAAGGAUAGGGAAAAGGGAAUAAGAUAGGAAUUUAAAGUAGAAAGGAAACACUGGUUUUGCAAGAUUCUUCAAAAUUCAUCUCUAGAAUCACCAACUUUGUGAUACUUUGCUAGUCUGUAGACCUGUAAUGUUCAAUAUGGUGGCCAUUGGCUACAUGUGGCAAUUAUUAUGUACUUGAAAUGUGGCUGGUGCAAAUUGAGAUGAGCUGUAAGUAUACAAUGCAUGCCAAAUUUUUUAGUAUGAAAAAUUGUGAAAUAUUUUCUUAGUAACUUUCCUAUUGAUUACAAGUUGAAAUAAUAGUGUCUUGACAAUAGCAAGUUAAAUAAAAUAUUAAUUUUACUUAUUUUUGUUUUUUCAAUACAAUGGAACAUGUCCAUUAGACAUUGCUGUUUCCUACUGUAAGCUCAGAUUUAGUGAUCUGAUUUGCUGAGAAGUCAUUUUUAGCUCAUAAGUUGCUCUUCCUUCUCAGGUUGAAUUUGGAGCUAAAUGGCGCUAAGGGCACUUUCUUUCAUUUCUUUUUUUUUUUGGGACAAAGUCUUGCUCUAUUGCCCAGGGUGGAGUGCAGUGGCCUAAUCUUCGCUUACUGCAACUCUGCUUCCUGAGUUCAAGCAAUUCUCUUGCCUCAGCCUCCCAAAUAACGGGGACUACAGGUGCACGCCACCAUGCCUGACUAAUUUUUGCAUUUUUAAUAGAGAGGGAUUUUUGCCCCUUUGGCCAGGCUGAUUUUGAACUCCUAACCUCAGGUGAUCUGCCUGCCUCGGCCUCCCGAAGUGUUGAGAUUACAGGUGUGAGCCACUGGGCUUGGCAUUACUUUCGUUACUUCCUGUUUUAAGUAAUAGGCCAUGGCUAAGAGACUGGUAUACACUAUUAGCCAUUCUAAAAGAGUGUUCAUUUUAUUUUUUCUGUUAUGUUCAAGUCAGAGACAUUAGAGAUUUGGAAGAACUGAGCCCUCUUUUAAUGCCAUGUUUUGGUUUUAAAAGGGGUUCAGAACUAACUUGACUGAUAGUUCUGAAUACCUUCACACAGUGUGUACAUAGAUACAAUACAUAACUUAUGUUUCCCAUUUCUUGUAACGAUUUCCAGCCAUAUCUUUUCUAAAUGCAUUAUAUUGACUUAAUUUUUAUAUCUGUUUUAAAAAUGUCAUAUAAUACAUGAUCUGUAUAUCGAGUCUAUGUUUCUGAAAUGACUAAGUAUCCUAAGUAAUGUCACUGCUCUCAUGAUUUGAGCCCAUGCUUCAAUGACACUACUUUCUUCCCAUGUUUCUGACGUUCUGGGUUCUUCUAUAUCCCUCUCUUUGGCUUAGAAUAUGCAAUCUGCUUUGAAUAUAUUCCAGGCCUCCAACUCUUCUUUGCUGUCUGUUUACUAUUAGUCUGUUCUGACACUGCUAUAAAGAAGUGCCUGAUACUGGGUAAAUUAUAAAGGAAAGAGGUUUCAUUGACUCACAGUUCUGCGGGGUUUUCCUUUUCUGCUCGGGAAACUUACAGUCAUAGUGGAAGGGGAAGCAAACAUGUCCUUCUUCACAUGCGGGCAGGAAGGAGAAGAAUGAGAACCAAGCAUAGAAGGAAGCCCCUUAUAAAACCAUCAUAUCCCAUGACAACUCACUAUCAUGAGAAUAGCAUGAGGAAACUGCACCCAUCAUUCAAUUACCUCUCACCAGGUCCGCAGCACCACACGUGUGGAUUAUGGGAACUAGAAUUCAAGAUGAGAUUUGGGUGGGACACAGCCCAACCAUAUCAUUAUCAUAGUGGUUAUUACACACCUUCCUUGUAGCCUUUAUAAUGUUGUAUUUAUUGGUUUAUAUUUCUGUUUCUUUUACUAGACUGAGUUCCUUUGAAGACACGGGACUCUGUUUAUGUCUGGCACAUAAAAGUUAGAUUUUAUUAAAUGCCUGUUGAAUAAAUGAAAUGGUUAAGAAUUCUUAGUGGAUGGGUUUCUUUGUAACUUUAUUACUUUCUGGGAAUGUGUGGCACGGGUAUUCUGUAGCCUUUGCUCUAACUGAUUUGUCUGCCUCUUGGGUCCUUUUUGAACAGGUGUAAAUCUGAGCUUGAAAAAAGCCAACAAGUGGCACAGUCUGCAGAUGUCUCUCUGAAUCCACGCAAUAGACCACACAAAAUUUUUACAACUCUAACACCAAGUCAAUUUUUUUUUUUUUUUUGAGACGGAGUUUCGCUCUUGUUACCCAGGCUGGAGUGCAAUGGCGUGAUCUCGGCUCAUGGGUUCAGGCAAUUCUCCUGCCUCAGCCUCCUGAGUAGCUGGGACUACAGGCACGCGCCACCAUGCCCAGCUAAUUUUUUGUAUUUUUAGUAGAGACGGGGUUUCACCAUGUUGACUAGGAUGGUCUCGAUCUGCCGACCUCGUGAUCCACCCACCUCGGCCUCCCAAAGUGCUAGGAUUACAGGUUUGAGCCACCGCACCAAGUCAAUAUUAUAGUGGUUUCAAGUAUGAAGAUCUGAAAGAAAAAUAUAAAGAGGUUAACGAAAAAGAUUAGAGGCAGAGGUUAAAGCCUUGCAGGCUAAAUGUACUGCAUUGGAACAAAAACUGAAAAAAGUGACAGAAAAUUUGAGUUGUCAGUGACAAAAUGCAGAAAGUGCCAGAUGUUCGUUCUCUGGAACAGAAAAUUAAGGAGAAAGAAAAGGAGUUUCAAGAGGAGCUCUCCCGUCAGCAGCGUUCUUUCCAAACACUGGACCAGGAGUCCAUCCAGAUGAAGGCCAAACUCACCCAGGAGUUGCAGCAAGCCAAGAAUAUGCACAACGUCCUGCAGGCUGAACUGGAAAAAGUCACAUCCGUAAAGCAACAGCUAGAAAAAAAACGUGGACGAGUUUAAGCAGAAGUUGUGCAGAGCUGAACAGGCAUUCCAGGCAAGUGAGAUCCAGGAGAACGAGCUGAGGAGAAACAUGGAGGAGUAUUACAGAAUGUUCUAUAUAUAACCCAUGACAGAGGAAAUGAAGAAGGAAAAUAGCCUCCUUAAGAGUCAAUCAGAGCAAAUGGCCAGAGAAGUCUGCCACCUGGAGGCAGAACUCAAGAAAGUCAAACAGUGUUUAAAUCAGAGCCAGAAUUUUGCAGAAGAAAUGAAAGAUGGACAAUCUAAAAAUCUGUAAAUCAGUUGAAUGAACAUGCCCAGGGGAAAAUAAAGUUGUUGAUGAAAUCCUGUAAAUAGCUGGAAGAGGAAAUGGAGACACUGCAGAAAGAACUGUCUCAACUUGAAGCUGCACAGGGGAGGCAGAAAACAGAUGCAGCUGUUCCAGGUCCAUCUCCAAUUCCUUCUGCUACUGAAAAGAGGUUAGCAUCUGACCAAAACAAAGCUUCAGGCAAGAGGCAAAGGUCCAGUGGGAUAUGGGAAAAUGGUAGAGGACCAACACCUUCUACUCCAGAGACAUUUUCUAAAAAAAGUAAGAAAGCAGUCGUGAGAGGUAUUCACCCUGCAGAGGACACGGAAGAUACUGAGUUUGAACUAGAGGGACUUUCAGAAGUUGUAAACAAAGGUCAAAGCUGCUCAGCAGAGCCCAGUGGAUUCAGGCAAUCCUCCGAGAACCCACCACGAAAUCUCUCUUGGUCAAUAAACUUCCUGAGAGAAGUCCGGCUGACAGCCCCAGAGAGGGCCUGAGGGCCAAGCGAGGCCGACUCACCCCCAGCCCCAAAGCUGGCGUGGUGCCCAAGGGCAGUGAGAACUGUAAGGUCCAGUGAAGACACCUUGUGUCAGUACCCCUGGGAGGUGACAGUCAUUGAAUAGAUAAGGCUCUGCCUACAGGACUUUUCUUUAGCCAGGGAGCACUUUAUCAGUGAGGAGAAAACAAUUUCUUAGGAGUCUUAAAUAUAUUGUACCUUUUACCCAUGUGUAGGUAUUGAACAAGUUUAGAAGGAGUGAUCACCUAUUAGGAUUAACAUUCCUCUCCUGUAAUAUAAAUAGUAUAAAACUAUGUAUAUAAAGCUUUUUAGUAAUACGUUAUAAAUAAAAUGAUAAGCACU